CAGGCCUAACACAUGCAAGUCGAACGAAGCCUUCGGGCUUAGUGGCGCACGGGUGAGUAACACGUGGGAAUAUACCUUUCGGUGGGGGAUAACAUCGGGAAACUGAUGCUAAUACCGCAUACGCCCCAAGGGGGAAAGAUUUAUCGCCGAGAGAUUAGCCCGCGUCCGAUUAGCUAGUUGGUGAGGUAACGGCUCACCAAGGCGACGAUCGGUAGCUGGUCUGAGAGGAUGAUCAGCCACACUGGGACUGAGACACGGCCCAGACUCCUACGGGAGGCAGCAGUGGGGAAUAUUGGACAAUGGGCGCAAGCCUGAUCCAGCCAUGCCGCGUGAGUGAUGAAGGCCUUAGGGUUGUAAAGCUCUUUCGUCGGGGACGAUGAUGACGGUACCCGAAGAAGAAGCCCCG
rnacentral:rRNA from 1 species